AAUGAAAUUAUCGCACGAAUUAAAUUUUUAAGUGGAUUUCAUAUUCAUGAAAAACGAUGGCGGAGCUAUUAAACAAGAUGUCCAAGCUCAUUAAUUAAGCUCGCCAAGCAGCGCGCCAAGGUUGAGGGGGCGCGGGGUGACUUUAGCGGGCGACUUUAUAAUUGGCGGGGGGUUGCGCGCGCACAUUUGGUCGUUUUCGUUCCGCAUGUCCGCGACCAUCGUUCCUAUUCCACGUUCCGUCCGACGGCUCUUAAGAUGGCGCAUCGAUCCUAUCGCGUGACGUCUUGUCAGCUGCGAUAUCUCGUGCGCGUACGAAUCGGCGUCGCGUCGCAGCGCGUCGCUGGAGGUUUGUUGUCGCGGCUAAGGGAAAUCAGCACGGAAACGAGAAAAGGGAAAUGAUGCGCCCGACGCAUCGCGACGUUGCGAAGUCACGCGUGCCACCAAUGUGAAUGGGGUGAAUCCUCGAAACGUGACCUGACGUCACGCACGCACGCACGCACGUACGCACGGCCGUCCCCGCUCGCUGCCGGCUUCGCCUUCCUCUCGGCUCGCCUCUGCGGCGGAAUAACGCGUUGAAUGAUGUGUUAACGUUGUCGUUACGUUCUAAGCAUAAUUCUCUGAAAUUUCUAAGAGUCCUCAUACGUAAGUCUGAAAAAUGGCAGUAUUGUAUGACAUAUAUAAUGCUCGUCAUGAAUUUGCGUAACGUCGAUAAGACGGCCUCGAAUUAACGUCUCGUGAUUACGUUAAACGCUCGUUUGGUCUUUCGCGCAUGGUGACAAUUCAAGGCCAUUGAUCAAUGACACCAAGUUCAAUGUAUCAUAUGACGUAUUAAAUAUCAUUACGUGUUAUCAGUUUAUUGAUUUUUGUCUACUAACAUUAGACACUUAACAUAAGUAACAUAAGCCGCUAACAAGCUUGAUUUGGUAUUAGAUUAAAUUAACAACAAGAAAUUAACAAAACGUCACUAAAAAAUGAUCACAAAAAUUUUCUCAGCACCCUUGAUGUAUUUAACAUUCAUUCAACAUUUUCUAAAAUUUAAUACUUUUGUCAAAGCUAAUUUCCGAGUGAUAAUAAAAAAAUAAUAGCUCGGAAAAUAGAAAUGAAUUUAUAUUUCUUUUAAAACAUUCUGAUGUAUUCUAUCGUGAAAUAAACGAAUCGCAUAAACAAUGCAUGAAAUGCGAAAGCCACGUAUUGAAGUCAGUUGGAUAUCGCAGAAAUAGGACACAAAACGGCGAGUGGCAUUAAUAAUAAAAGCACAGGUUUCAUAAUCUAGUUAUUUUGCAAUAGUUGAUUUGUAUUCGUGUCGCAAAAAGCAGGAAACUCAAAAUGAUGCUGAUUAUGUAGUGAUCACUAAGAGGUUUGCCAUCUUGGAUCUUCUUUUUUUUUUCUUCACUUAAUGCGCGACACAAUGUGGCGAUUAGAUAUUACGUGACGUAUAACGAAUUCAAAACUAUAAACACAUACAGGAAAAAA